rnacentral:sRNA from 1 species
AGAAGAAGAAGAAGAAGAAGAAGAAGCAGAAGAAGAAGAAGCAGAAGAAGAAGAAGAAGAAGAA